CAACUUUCAGCAACGGAUCUCUUGGCUCUCGCAUCGAUGAAGAACGCAGCGAAAUGCGAUAAGUAAUGUGAAUUGCAGAAUUCAGUGAAUCAUCGAAUCUUUGAACGCACCUUGCGCUCCUUGGUAUUCCUUGGAGCAUGCCUGUUUGAGUAUCAUGA
rnacentral:rRNA from 1 species